GCUGGUUUGGCUUAAUGGAUAGAGCAUCGGUCUGUGGACUGAAGGGUCACUGGUUCAAUUCCAGUCAAGGGCC
rnacentral:tRNA from 1 species